ensembl:lncRNA
UAGAUUAUGUGUGGCUGCUGUGUGGAGCGUCUCCUGGGAAACUUUGGAAGCAGAGUAAUAAAACUCUUAGCGUGCCUGUGCCAAGUUGGGACAUCUGCUCACCUUAUCACAGAUAAGUGGGGGUUUGUCCCAGCAUCUGUUAGAAUUAAUCCAUUUUGCAAACACAGUUAUCCUAAUCUCCUAAAUAUGCCCCUUUGCACAUCAGCGAUGCACAAGUAUUGCUCUUUUUACGUUGUUUUGUUCUGUUACAUGUUAGCCUAAAAGGCUGAGCGUCACUGAAGAGCAGAAGAGACCGUUGUCCAAAAUGGCUCAAGAGCACAGAGGCCUCUCAGCGUACCUACAAUCUCCACAUGCAUAUUCAUGAGGCGCCCUCUUCCUUUUGUUGCCUGCCUAGUCAGCAGUCACAAAACACAUGGUGAGGGUUGGCAGUGCCUUGCCUAGGUAGAGAGGGGCGGUGGACGGAGGCAAUGGCAGGAACCGGGACCUGUGAGGGCUGACUGACGUUUCCAUCUGUGGCGAAGGCUGGUAAUUAUCGGGAAGAGGAGCGCCCGCAGCAGCGCGCCAUCUGCUAAGGGGGAAACGGCUCAAUGAGCUGUGAGUGGGGGGAGGGGGUGCUGACACUCCUGAGCUCGCUCACAGAAGAGUGGGAGGUGUGAACAGGAAGUACCGCCCAACCUGCUCUCCGCCCAGAAGUCCCACCCCCUCACAUCCCAAACUGGAUACCAUUGGGGAGAGACAGUUUCAUCGGCAAGACGUGGCAGGUCUGGUGACGGUUCAGAGCAGCGAUCUUCCCCUCCGUUUCCCUCUCUUCUUUCUCCUUAUCUUUCCACACGCCAGAUCUUUCAGGGGCUGCAGGAGUCUGCACGGCAGAUGGGUGCCUUGCUUUUACAUCUCACUUGAGGGAUGGAAAAAACAGCACAAUCUGCGACCCACAAUGCAGCAUCAGUGGAGCCGUGCAAACGAAACAGGGAAUCGAUGCAAGGGCACAGCCCAGAUUCUUAACAAUCCCUUUGAAUCUCCACUUCCCCCUGCCUGGCCCUUCAAAGUGUGCCCAAUGUUUUAUUUAUCCGACGAAAUAAAGAGCCCGGCACAACAGAGUACCCCUUCUGUUUGCUGAAAAAGUCGGCCGUUAUCGAGAACGAGGGGAGGGACGGUGGGGAUUCGCACACGUCUUUGAGAAAGAACUACAAAUCCCAACAGGCUCGGUGGUGGAAACGGACCAGCUGUCCAUGGUUUUGCAGAUCAGAUCCCGUUGUCUUGAUUAUGAAAUCACAAAAUAAUGAGGAGUAAAGUGCAGGCAUGAGUGUUUUCUCCUUUGUUCUUGCUUUUGACAGAAGUUAUUUUUCUCCCGUUGCCUCCAAGCUGUGGUCUGCGGUUGCCAAUGUUUGGUGCAGGACUGCAUUUGUUCCCGCAGACAGAAGAGAAGACUCAUGGCCUUGCCCUGUUUAAAGCUGUCAUCCAACUCCCGCCUUGUGUUUUAUUCAAUUUUGACUGCGGCCCAUACGCCUCCCAUACCAACUGUCAUCAUCAAAAUUGCAAAAGUCCAAAGCAAUUAGACUUUUUGGAGACUCUCGGUUAACUUCUGUUGUGUUCUCGCAUUAUAUUAGAUAGAGAGAUGCACUACUUUAUGAAAAAAAUAAAAAACUGAAUCUUCUUGCA